rnacentral:lncRNA from 1 species
AAAGGCAUAAGUGGUGAAAUUGCUAGUAUCAGCUUGUAUGAUGGAUUUCUUUUCUCAAGAAAGUUAAUCAAGUUAAUGCCUUCGAUUGGGAACAUUUAUAAUACCUUGAGCUAAUGCAAUUGAAAUGUACUUUGAUUAGUAUGAUGAGUGAAUUUUGCAUGAUUACAUGUUAAAUCGUUUUGCCAACUGAAAGGAAGGAUUUCUUGAAACUUUAUCAAGUAAUAA